ensembl:snRNA U2 U2 spliceosomal RNA
AUAUUCUGUCUUUUGGCUAAGAUCAAGUGUAAUAUCUGUUCUUAUCAGAUUAACAGGAUUCUGAUAAAAAGAAUAACUGGUGAAAUAAAGGGAAAUGAUU